rnacentral:pre_miRNA from 1 species
CCGGUGUUCACAGUGAUUUGGCAGAAUGUGAUAUAUUUCUGAGAUCAUUGUGAACACUGGUU